CGUAGAUACACCAUUAGUCUAACAUUCAUAUUAUUCAAGAAUUCAAGACUCAAGAAAUCAUGAUUCAAGAAUUCAAGAUUCAUACCACAAGCGAGUGUUGUGCUGUGAAUGAGGACAUCUCUGGAGUUCUGAAGGUGAAUCCCAUCGGUGUUUGGACUGUCACCAGGUGAAGAAACGGACAUGUCAUGUACCUCAACGUCGAUGCAGUUAUCGAAUUUGAGGUGACACUGAGGACUGUUUUGGAUAGUUAUACCAGACACUUCCACCCCAAUACUCCCAUAGAAUCGCAGUGCCUAUAUAAACCAGAAACACAAGUUAGUAUAAAAAUCAAUGCUUAAAGUUUUCAUAGUGCCAAACUCUUUUGUUUCUUUCUUUCUCACCGUUGGUUUAAUGCUUGGCAUUUUCCAAUCAAGCUCACUUCUUUCCUGUUCAAAUGUGAAAUAAAAAGGGUUUGAUCUUGGAUGAAUAUUCUACAAAUGACACACUACUGAAGCAAGGCCUGAGCUGGACACAGUCUAAUGAAAUAUUGGCCUUGGCACUCAAAUUUUUUUAAUGUUAUAUAGACAUAAGCCUUCAAAUUAUGAAGAAAAAAAAAUUAAAUUUUUUUUUGUAUAUGAACAUACUGGCAUUGGUGGGUUUUGGUGAACAGAAUUGUUCAAGGGAACGAUGAGCUUAGUUUCACCAUCAAUGAAAGGGUAAUCUUGUUGCCACCAACCAGAGCCUCUUCCAUCAAUCACACCUUUACCUUGUACUUUAAUUCCUUUCAGCUUUGUGAAUUCAAGCCACCACAUUAACCCUUUUCCCCAUGAUUUUGAAUCCGUUGGAGCUAUAAUAGUACCAUCAAGCUGCAACCACACACUAAAACGUUUUAGAUAUUUUAAACCAAAGUGAUACAAUUAUUGUAUUUAAAAGAUCAACUCUCACCUGGAACACAAUGUUAGCUUGACAAUAAGGACCAGAGAAUGAGAUUGGACCUACAAGAAAAGUGUAUUCAGGCGGUACAGUCAUCAUGGAUGCCUCUACUUUGCAAGCCGCUGCCCAAGCCGCUUCAAACGCCUGCAAACAUUAUGAAACCCUUUUAAUUUACCCUAAUCACCAGUAUAAUAAUGGUGAUUAACGGUUGUGAUUUGUGGUCCCAUCUGUAAUCUGUUAUUUCUGUUGUCACUUUAUAUUCGUUUGUCUUUUUCUUUUGGGGCUCAUAAUCAUGUAAUACGAAUACUGCAUCAUUAUCAAAAACAACAAAAUAAAAUUAAAUGAGAUAUUGACUUUGCCUGAGCUUCGAAUUCAUCAUCCAGCAGAAUGUUUGACGAUUUAAUGUCCCUAUGGAUAAUCUUCGGGUGACCUAUUAAAUUGAUACAAAGUUAAAUCAGGGUAAACAUUUAAAUCAAAUUAAUCUUUUAAAUUUUUACCAAAAAAAAAAAGAAUUCACACUACUAAGAAAAUAAAUUGGAAAAUGUAAUGGAGAGUACUUACAAUCUUCAUGUAGAUAAGCAAGUCCUUUGGCUGCGCCUAUUGCAAUUUUGACUCUUCUAGUCCAUUCCAAAACCGGUAAGUCUUUGCCUGACAACAAUAUAAAGAAAGGUUGUACUUAGGCAAUACAAAACUAAAUACCAACACAAAUCUGAUCUUAAUUCAAUAAAAUAUAGAGCUAAUUAAACAAAGAGAUUUUGCAAAGUACCAUGUAAAUGGUAGUCCAGGGUAUUGUUGGGGACAAACUCAUAUAUAAGGAACCUAUGUUGCUCACAGAUGCAAUAACCCACAAGAGACACCAAAUGCCUAUGAUGCACUCUGCUUAUGAUCUCCACUUCAGCUUUGAACUCUCUAUAUCCUUCUGCGCUGAUCGACUUUAGCUGUUUAAUAGCGAUUGGCUUUCCCUCGCUAAGAAUACCCUUGAAGACGCACCCGAACCCACCUUCUCCUAUGACAAAUCUCUUGGAAAAUCCUUCUGUUAUCUCACUUAGCUCCUCAAAGGUGAAAGGGAUCUUUGAAGUCCCUAUUACUGCAGAGUCAGGGGUUCCUCGACCUGGUUUUGGAUUCCCUAAACUGUUGUUUGUAUCCGGUAAUGAGUUCUGCGCCGAGGCGGGCCCGUUUCCAGGGUUUUGCCUGUAGUGAAUGAGUCCCUCUGGGCCAAAACCAAAGUUAGGAUCAAGAACAAAAGUCACAAUGAAAAACAUGAAUCAACAUUCAAGAAACAAAUAAAAACAAGAAUAAGAAUUCAAGAAUAAAGAAAAAAAGAAUUCACGAAUCAAGAACAUGGAACUAAGGAUCAAGAACAAUACUAGGAGGCAGAUAAAUAUCAGAACAGAAAAACAAGAAUCUAGAACAUAUUUUACCCCAAAAAAAAGAAUCUAGAACAUAAAAGAAGACAAGAAUCAAAAACCACACCAAAAGUACAUUUACACAUGUUUUGGUCUUGUUACCUGUAUGAACAGAGACAUUAGCCGGUGGCAAAUACUGCUGGUUAGACCUAGGGGAAGAAGAUUUCUUUUGUUUCCUCCUAAAGAAGAAGAUGACAGCAAUGAUUAUAAUGACCAAGACACCUGCGACCCCAAUGCCGAUCAAUGCCUUCUCAGUGAAGUUAGGUUCAUUGUUUUGUUGUCCAUUACCACCAUUAUGUCUAUUAGAACCUCCAGAGUUGUCAUCGGAGCCGGAGAGGGAAGGAGGAGACGGGACAGAAGAGGACGAGGGCACAUGAUUUGAUCCUUCCGCGGGAGGUGAGUCCAGAGGUUGUGAAGGGUUUCUUGGGAGAUUAGGGUUUAGCGAGAUAACCGGAGGAGAUGGAGAUGAAAAUGGAGGAGAGCCUUGGCUACCUGACGGCGGUGAUAAAGGGUUUAAAGGCGGAGAUGGAGGAGAAUUAGGGUUGUUGGGUUGUUCUUGGCCGUUAUCAUUAGGUUUGGCCUCUGGUUGCUGAGUAACUAAGGUUGGAGGAGGAAGAGCAGGAAGAGGAAGUUGAGGCUUUGGAGAAGGAAUCACCACAGGAGAAUCUCCGGAAGGGGUGGAUUGAGGCGGAGUUUGAGGCUGAGGAGGUGACGGAGGUGGAGUUAUAGAGGGUGGAGGUGAAGAAGGAGGCUUUGGAGGCGGAGUUGUAAUAGGAGGUUGAUUUGAUGGUGGUGGAGAAACCGUUACCGGUGGAGGAGAUGAUUGUGAGCCGCCGCCACCACUGUCUUGGGAUGGAGGAGAAGGAGGUGAGGUCGCUGGAGGCUGUGUAGUCUGUGAACCGCCGAGGAUUUUCUGAUCAGUGAAUCCUGGGGGGACAAACUCAUAUAUAAGGAACCUAUGUUGCUCACAGAUGCAAUAACCCACAAGAGACACCAAAUGCCUAUGAUGCACUCUGCUUAUGAUCUCCACUUCAGCUUUGAACUCUCUAUAUCCUUCUGCGCUGAUCGACUUUAGCUGUUUAAUAGCGAUUGGCUUUCCCUCGCUAAGAAUACCCUUGAAGACGCACCCGAACCCACCUUCUCCUAUGACAAAUCUCUUGGAAAAUCCUUCUGUUAUCUCACUUAGCUCCUCAAAGGUGAAAGGGAUCUUUGAAGUCCCUAUUACUGCAGAGUCAGGGGUUCCUCGACCUGGUUUUGGAUUCCCUAAACUGUUGUUUGUAUCCGGUAAUGAGUUCUGCGCCGAGGCGGGCCCGUUUCCAGGGUUUUGCCUGUAGUGAAUGAGUCCCUCUGGGCCAAAACCAAAGUUAGGAUCAAGAACAAAAGUCACAAUGAAAAACAUGAAUCAACAUUCAAGAAACAAAUAAAAACAAGAAUAAGAAUUCAAGAAUAAAGAAAAAAAGAAUUCACGAAUCAAGAACAUGGAACUAAGGAUCAAGAACAAUACUAGGAGGCAGAUAAAUAUCAGAACAGAAAAACAAGAAUCUAGAACAUAUUUUACCCCAAAAAAAAGAAUCUAGAACAUAAAAGAAGACAAGAAUCAAAAACCACACCAAAAGUACAUUUACACAUGUUUUGGUCUUGUUACCUGUAUGAACAGAGACAUUAGCCGGUGGCAAAUACUGCUGGUUAGACCUAGGGGAAGAAGAUUUCUUUUGUUUCCUCCUAAAGAAGAAGAUGACAGCAAUGAUUAUAAUGACCAAGACACCUGCGACCCCAAUGCCGAUCAAUGCCUUCUCAGUGAAGUUAGGUUCAUUGUUUUGUUGUCCAUUACCACCAUUAUGUCUAUUAGAACCUCCAGAGUUGUCAUCGGAGCCGGAGAGGGAAGGAGGAGACGGGACAGAAGAGGACGAGGGCACAUGAUUUGAUCCUUCCGCGGGAGGUGAGUCCAGAGGUUGUGAAGGGUUUCUUGGGAGAUUAGGGUUUAGCGAGAUAACCGGAGGAGAUGGAGAUGAAAAUGGAGGAGAGCCUUGGCUACCUGACGGCGGUGAUAAAGGGUUUAAAGGCGGAGAUGGAGGAGAAUUAGGGUUGUUGGGUUGUUCUUGGCCGUUAUCAUUAGGUUUGGCCUCUGGUUGCUGAGUAACUAAGGUUGGAGGAGGAAGAGCAGGAAGAGGAAGUUGAGGCUUUGGAGAAGGAAUCACCACAGGAGAAUCUCCGGAAGGGGUGGAUUGAGGCGGAGUUUGAGGCUGAGGAGGUGACGGAGGUGGAGUUAUAGAGGGUGGAGGUGAAGAAGGAGGCUUUGGAGGCGGAGUUGUAAUAGGAGGUUGAUUUGAUGGUGGUGGAGAAACCGUUACCGGUGGAGGAGAUGAUUGUGAGCCGCCGCCACCACUGUCUUGGGAUGGAGGAGAAGGAGGUGAGGUCGCUGGAGGCUGUGUAGUCUGUGAACCGCCGAGGAUUUUCUGAUCAGUGAAUCCUGGGAGGUUUGGUUGAUGUGAAGUAACAAACGGAGCUAUCUUCUUUCCGAUAAAAUCUGCUUGUUCCUGGACCUUGUCCAUUUGUUUUAUUCACCUUUGCUUGUUCUCUUUCUUUCUUUUACAGCAUUUGCUCUUAAAGAGGUUCCGUAGAGAACAAGAAAGGAUCUUCUGUUUACUCUGAGAUCCAAUCUAAAUCGGCUAAAAUCCCACAGAAAUCCCAGAAUUUAUUUUCAGAUACAAUGUGUUCAUGAGAACAACAAGAUUGGUGGAAACUAACGAAAAGAGAGAUGAAAAAAAAAAAUCCAAGCCUAUAGGGUUUCUUGUGACUCAAGGAUGAUAGGAAGAGAGUUUCUAUCAAAUUGAUUCAGGUUUUUGUUAGUUGAUGAUAUUUUUCUUCCUUGAGGUUUUUUUCUCUGUCGCGUUCUUCUUUGGUGUAAAAAUAGAAAGUCUCCUAAAUCUCAACGAAUUGAAUUCUAAAAAUGACUGAGAAAAUAGGCUAAAAAUUCAUUUUAUUGUUAUUUUUACAGUAAAUAAUUGUAGGAAAGAAAAGUACCAAUAUCUGGAAGAUUCACCCUUCAGCUUCAUUGUCGGGUUGCCGCGUAAAUUAUUCUUUCUUAAAGUAUUAUUUUAAGCUCUUUCGGUGAAUUCUUUUAACAUAUAGUUCACAAAAUGGGGUUACAGCAUUGAUCUGAUAAUGGUGGAAGUUUAUUAACUGGUAAAGUGAAACGUCCAUGCAUAUAAACUUCAGAUUAUUUGAGUACUAUAGUUUGAAUUUCAAAUUAGUAUUAAUGAGUGAUAUAGUUUUGAAUCGUUGUUGUCUCAGUCAAGGAUGGAGGAGAUCACUCCAUGCUUUUUACCGUUGUCUCUAGCUAAUGUGUUGUUUUCUAUAUUAUGUUUGUGUGGUUCAAAUACUUUAACUUGCAUUCCCUAUUAAACACACAAUGUUGGUAAACAGUAACUAGCAGGACCAGCUAAGGCUCCUGAUUAAAUAGCACAGUAUACAAAUAUUCAUAUUGCUAAAGAUUUUGUCUUUUCACAUCCAUUUUACAACCACAGAUAAUAUACUUUAUCUCUCUAUCCAACCUCAGGACCAUUGCAGAAUAUUUUCUGCAACUCUGCCUGGUCUCAAUAUGGUUUAUCACCACUUGAUUCUGAUCAAUAAAGUGAGACAUUUAAGUAACAAUAAAAGUAUAGAAAAAGACAUCAAUUUAAAACUAAACUAUAAUUCGUAUGAAGCAGUGGUACUAGAUUACUAGUAGUAGUAGGCUUUUAGACAAGAUAUACAUUCAUCUACAUGUUUCACACAACUUCCAAGACCCAUCAACAUACAUCAUGAUCAGACUGAACUCUGUUUCUUGCAGGCUUCCCAAUCUGUAAACAAUCAAUAGGAGGAAGAGUAGGAGUAUUGAGCUCACCAAAUGUCUGCCAGCAAAACGGAUCAGACAUAUGAUACUUUUCUUGAACCGGCUUAAGCUCUAUUGCAGAUAACUGCACAUCCACGCAAGGGAAGUUAUCGCUGCAAGCGAAAUGCACAGGUUUCACGGUAUAAGUGCCUUUGAUCCUCUCGUAAGUCACUCCUUCCACUGCAACUGCUGAUGUCUGGUUCUUGCAUUUGCUAUGGUCACAGUAGAAUUGGUCUAUCACUAUUGGAAGCUGGACCUCAUUGAGUUGAAUGUUUGAGAAGAGUAUCCCUUUCACUGAUCCUACUCCUCCUUGCCAUGUCUUGAUCCUGACCCCUGUCAUCGUGUUGUGCAUCGCCACAUCUCUCACUGUUAUGUUCGAGACACACGCUUUUGUGCUGUCUUUGCCGAGACUACCUAUGCUAAUACCGUGACCUGGUCCACAGUUCACGUUGUGUACGAAUACAUUCGAGCAACCUGUUUGGAUGGAGAUACAAUCAUCUCCUGCACACACACACACACGUAGAUACACCAUUAGUCUAACAUUCAUAUUAUUCAAGAAUUCAAGACUCAAGAAAUCAUGAUUCAAGAAUUCAAGAUUCAUACCACAAGCGAGUGUUGUGCUGUGAAUGAGGACAUCUCUGGAGUUCUGAAGGUGAAUCCCAUCGGUGUUUGGACUGUCACCAGGUGAAGAAACGGACAUGUCAUGUACCUCAACGUCGAUGCAGUUAUCGAAUUUGAGGUGACACUGAGGACUGUUUUGGAUAGUUAUACCAGACACUUCCACCCCAAUACUCCCAUAGAAUCGCAGUGCCUAUAUAAACCAGAAACACAAGUUAGUAUAAAAAUCAAUGCUUAAAGUUUUCAUAGUGCCAAACUCUUUUGUUUCUUUCUUUCUCAC
rnacentral:lncRNA from 1 species